ensembl:lncRNA
AUGUCAGACGAGGAAGCCCAAGUGCCGCGGGAGAACAGUGCUCAUACCUCGCGGCCGCGCCGUGCACAAACUUCCCCAAAAGACAUUCCUUUACCGCCGCCAUUUCGCAACGACGGCACUGAGUCCUUUCAGCUGUGGGCUCCUCGUUAUGAGGUGAUUCAAGAGGCUCGCUAUAAAGAUAGCGGUGUUGAUUUGGAUGCAGUGUUAGCAGCAGAGUUGCCUACUAGACUGCCACCUGAACUGUUCAUUGUUUGGGACAAUUUUCCAUCUGAAAUUCAGCACUCGUUUAAAGCAGCGAAAAAAGAAUUACAAGAGGCGUUUGGCCAGAAGGAUGUCAUAGCAUCGUUUCAAACAUUUCCAAAUUCACGCCAUAAAUUGCCUAAUGAACCAAUGGAAGUGUAUGCAGCAGACAUAUGUAGACUGGUCAAAGAAGCUUUUCCUGAUUUCGAACAGAAUGCAUCUGAAUACAUGAAACUAUCACGAUUUCUGGCGGGUUUAGAUCAAGAACUCCAGAUCAAGUGCCAUGAGAGGGGAGUGAAAACGUUCAAAGACGCCUUCCAAGUCGCUACCCAAGCUGAACGGGCACGUACAGCAGCCAAAUUAGUACAGCCAGUUUCAUCUACAGUAAGAGAGAAUUCGAUAGCACAGACAGUGAAUGUUAUUUCUGACUCUGACACUCUUUUUUUGAAGCAAGCCGUUGUUGAUCUUACAAACACGGUCAAGGAUUUAAGUAAGGAUGUCUCAGCAUUGAAACUUCAGCUGCAUGAUCAUCGCAGCCGAUCUCAUCAAACCCCAUCACCACAUCGUCAUAGUUCAACGAGGCAUGUUAGUCCAACAAGAUAUGCCACGGAAUGGAGUGCAUCGUAUGAUCGUUUAUCAACCAAACAUCCUGAGACACGUCCUCCAUCACCUGGCAUCUACAGAAGAUCUCCCAGCCGUCGCAGAGACCUUUACAGACAACAGGACGACACAUACCAGCAUAAUGACAGAGUGGACUUAUCACCGCAUCGCAGGGAGAGGUUCGAGGAUUACUAUUCUCCAAAAUACUCCACUGCAGCCGGCACUGACCACUACGUGGAUUACAGACAGGGACAACGUCGUGACACCAUGGCUUCCAACAACUCGUCAUUACAGCGACGCAGUCCAAGCCCUCAUCACAGGCGUGUCACCUUUGACGACUACCAGGACCAUCAUUACAGACCUCAGCAGCACAGCCUGGAUCAUCAGAGUGGUUCAUGUGAUGUCUACCUGGAUCGUCGCACCUAUCGUCAGGGAAACUUCCGUUAG